ensembl:lncRNA
CCCCCCCCCCCCCCCCCCCCCCCCCCCCCCCCCCCCCCCCCCCCCCCCCCCCCCCCCCCCCCCCCCCCCCCCCCCCCCCCCCCCCCUGGCCGAGGUGGAGGUCUGCAAGCCGGAGCUGACGGCGGCGCUGCGCGAGAUCCGCACCCAGUACGAGAGCAUCGCCGUCAAGAACCUGCAGGAAGCCGAGGAGUGGUACAAGUCCAAGGUACGUACCCGCGGCUGGGAGGGAUUUUGGGGUGGCUGAGCCGUCCCAGAGCCCUGACUCGCCCGGCCCGCGCAGUUUGCCGACCUCUCAGAUGCGGCAAACCGGAACCACGAGGCGCUGCGGCUGGCCAAGCAGGAGAUGAACGAGUCCCGGCGGCAGAUCCAGAGCCUGACCUGCGAGGUGGACGGGCUGAAGGGCGUGAACGAGGCGCUGCAGCGGCAGAUGCGGGAGAUGGAGGAUGAGUUCGGGGAGGAGAUCGGGAACUACCAGGAUGUGGUGGGGAGGCUGGAGCAGGAGAUCCAGCAGAUGAAGGAGGAGAUGGCGCGGCACCUGCGCGAGUACCAGGACCUGCUGAACGUCAAGAUGGCCCUAGACAUCGAGAUAGCCACGUACCGCAAGCUGCUGGAGGGCGAGGAGAGCCGGUGAGGGGAACGCGGCACAGGCGCCUCCCAGUGCCGGCGGGGAAGGUCCCUUGGGUGGAGUCACCCGGUUAUUGUGGGAUUUUCUUGGGAGGAGGCAGCUCCCGCAGGAAAACAAAAGGUUCCCAUGGGAGCUGAGAUAAAGGCAAGGCCAGGGGCUGGCGGGAGGAUGGGGGAGCUGCCCCCAGCUCUGCUCCAGGUGCCAGCCUGGAGCACAGCCCCCGGCUGAGAUGGGACGUGGGUCACGGACUUAAGGGUGUGGAAGGCGUCACUGGCAAUGUCCAGGAGUCCCAGACCCUCCUCAUCCUCCUCUCCCCUCCAGGAUCACCAUCCCUCUGCAGCCCACCACUUCCUUCAGCAUGAGAAGCUCAGGUGAGGGACAAAGAAUCCCCCACUACGUCUGGGGGUCUUUCCUUGGGGGUGGAGACUGUGUGUGGCUGCGGGUGGGUCCCAGGGUGUCUGGGGGGGGCAUGGGGUGCUGAUGACCCCUCUGUGCCCAGUGCUGGAGCCCCAGCCUGCGGAGAGCUCGGCUCGGAGGAUGGUGCUCAUCAAAACCAUCGAGACACGGGACGGGCAGCAAGUGGUGACAGAGUCGCACAAGGAGCGAGCGGGGAAGUGACAGAGAGGAGCUGCUGCGAUGGCCCCGACCCCACGGCGGGGGUUUUGCCAAACCCUGCUGCGUCCUGGGCGGGGAAUGGAGCAAAGCAGGGGGGCUGGGAGUGCCCCAAUUCCCAUUCCUGCUGUCAGCACCACGGGACAACGCUGUGGUGUGUCCCUGUGCCUUUGCAGUGUGUCCCUGUGCCUUGUCCCCACACUAUUUAUUGCCUAUUUAUUAUCCUCCCAACCACAUUCCCAGCUCUAUUCCAUAUCGAGUGUUCCCCACGCUGCCUUGAGGCCGGGGGAGUCCCGGCUUCCCUCCUGCCCCCAGAGCUGGCACCGGCUGCCCCCGGGCUUGGAGGGUCUGGUGACAUCCAUGCACUGUCCCCUCUGGUGUCACUGCCCGGGGGAGUGGAGCAGAAUGGGAAGCAGCGCCCGGCUGAGGGGGGGAUCUGCGUCCCCAGGGCACUGCUCUUCCCCCCCCCCCCCCCUGCGUCCCCAGGGCGCUGCUCUUAUUUUGGGGGGGUCUCACCUCCCCUCUCGUCACUGAAACCGGCACCGGCUGCCGCCGGGGUUGGCGGAUCCCAAGCUCUGUCCCCUCUGGUGUCGCUGCCCGGGGGAGUGGGGCAGAAAGGGAAGCAGCUCCCGGCUGUGGGGGGAUCUGCGUCUCCAGGGCCCCUCUCCAUCACUACCACUCCCAUUUUGGGGGCUCCAGGGCCCCUCUCCAUCACCACCACUCCCAUUUUGGGGGGGGGUCUCACCUCCCCUCCCAUCACCCAAGACUUCCUCUGGUGUCACCGCCUCGGGGAAGGACGCAGGAAGGAGCCUCAACCCCGCUCCUUCCCGGGACCCCGCGACUUCCAGAGGACCCGGAGGGCUCCAGGCUCACGGAGUGUCCGGUCGGAGCGGGAUCGGUGCUCCCGAACCACCGGGGACCGGAGCGGCACCGCCGGGAGCGCCGCGCUCAUUCCCCACCGGCACCACCAGGGGGCGCCACCGGCCCGGCCCAAUCGCUGCCGCGCGUUAAUUACGUAUUAAUUGCCUAUUAAUUACGGGUUAAUUACAGCGCGACGAGCCUCUGGAAGUGCGGGGAAACACCCUGAUUUCUAUAAUUACGUUAUAUCAAGCAUUUUUUUUUUUUGCAUGAUUAAGUGCGUUACUUCAAGCAAAUUAUGCAAAAUUGCGCCCGUGCAACAUUUGCGUGUUAGUUUUGCUAUUUUAAGCAAAUUUUUGCACUGUUUCAUGAUUUUCAGCAUUUUUUCGCGUCACUGAUUGAAUUGUUUAAAGCAAAUUUUGCACAAUUGCGUUAUUUAAACAAAUCUUGCACACAUAGUUGCAUUAUUUAAGCAAAUGUUGCACUAUUGCAUUUUAAGUAUUUUUUGCAUCAAUUGGGUUCAGUUUUUGCAUUACUGUGUUAUAGCAAAUUAUUAAAAAUUGCAUCAUUUCAUGGAAUUUUGGCAUCAUUAAUUGCAUUAUUUUAUGCAAUUUUCUCACCAGUAAUUACAUGAACAAAAUAAUAUAAAAUCGCAUUAUUUUAAGCUUUUUUCCUGAUUAAUUACGUUAUCUUAGGCAUUUUUUUUUGCGUGAAAAUUGAAUUAUUUUAACCUAUUUUUGGCAUCAUGAAUAGCACUAUUUUAAGCCGCUUGCAUGAUUUGAAGCGCUAAUUGCGAUAUCGCUCACUCUGGGUCACGGCAACACCGCAGGAACAGCCCCGGAUCCCUGACCGGGGGUGGGGGAGCCGCUGCUCGGGGGGGUUUCGGUCACAGAGGACCAAGGAGUGUCCAGGGGUGACAAACACACAGUCCCAGUCCCCUGAGAAAGGGUUUAAUGAGGGGAGGGGGGUGGGCACUGCUGGUGCUCUCACAGACAGGAGGUCCGGGGGGACAGACGGACACACAGACAGGUAUGAACACUAUGUACACGCACCCCCCGCCCCACCUCUGGGGAUCUGGAGCAGGGCUGGGGGCGCUUGCAGUCCUGCCACACUGGGAAUGGGGCUGAGGGGGAACUGGGAGCACUGGGAUGGGGCCGGGGGCUCUUUGGUUUCGGCGUUGAGGCUGCGCAGGGGCCCCCCCCCCCCCCCCCCCCCCCCCCCCCCCCCCCCCCCCCCCCCCCCCCCCCCCCCCCCCCCCCCCCCCCCCCCCCCCCCCCCCCCCCCCCC